GACGAACGCUGGCGGCGUGCUUAACACAUGCAAGUCGAACGGAAAGGCCCUGCUUUUGUGGGGUGCUCGAGUGGCGAACGGGUGAGUAACACGUGAGUAACCUGCCCUUGACUUUGGUAUAACUUCAGGAAACUGGGGCUAAUACCGUAUAGGAGCUCCUGCUGCAUGGUGGGGGUUGGAAAGUUUCGGCGGUUGGGGAUGGACUCGCGGCUUAUCAGCUUGUUGGUGGGGUAGUGGCUUACCAAGGCUUUGACGGGUAGCCGGCCUGAGAGGGUGACCGGCCACAUUGGGACUGAGAUACGGCCCAGACUCCUACGGGAGGCAGCAGUGGGGAAUAUUGCACAAUGGGCGGAAGCCUGAUGCAGAAACGCCGCGUGCGGGAUGACGGCCUUCGGGUUGUAAACCGCUUUCGCCUGUGACGAAGCGUGAGUGACGGUAAUGGGUAAAGAAGCACCGGCUAACUACGUG
rnacentral:rRNA from 1 species